rnacentral:rRNA from 1 species
GAUGAACGCUAGCUACAGGCUUAACACAUUGCAAGUCCGAGGGGCAGCAUGGUCUUAGCUUGCUAAGGCCGAUGGCGACCGGCGCACGGGUGAGUAACGCGUAUCCAACCUGCCUUACACUCUUGGACAGCCUUCUGAAAGGGAGAUUAAUACAAGAUGUUAUCAUGAGUAAGCAUUUUCGCAUGAUUAAAGGUUUACCGGUGUAAGAUGGGGAUGCGUUCCAUUAGAUAGUAGGCGGGGUAACGGCCCACCUAGUCUUCGAUGGAUAGGGGUUCUGAGAGGAAGGUCCCCCACAUUGGAACUGAGACACGGUCCAAACUCCUACGGGAGGCAGCAGUGAGGAAUAUUGGUCAAUGGACGAGAGUCUGAACCAGCCAAGUAGCGUGAAGGAUGAAGGUUCUAUGGAUUGUAAACUUCUUUUAUACGGGAAUAAACGGAUCCACGUGUGGAUUUUUGCAUGUACCGUAUGAAUAAGGAUCGGCUAACUCCGUGCCAGCAGCCGCGGUAAUACGGAGGAUCCGAGCGUUAUCCGGAUUUAUUGGGUUUAAAGGGAGCGUAGAUGGGUUGUUAAGUCAGUUGUGAAAGUUUGCGGCUCAACCGUAAAAUUGCAAUUGAUACUGGCAGUCUUGAGUACAGUUGAGGUAGGCGGAAUUCGUGGUGUAGCGGUGAAAUGCUUAGAUAUCACGAAGAACUCCGAUUGCGAAGGCAGCUUACUAACCUGUAACUGACAUUGAUGCUCGAAAGUGUGGGUAUCAAACAGGAUUAGAUACCCUGGUAGUCCACACGGUAAACGAUGAAUACUCGCUGUAGGCGAUAUACAGUCUGCGGCCAAGCGAAAGCAUUAAGUAUUCCACCUGGGGAGUACGCCGGCAACGGUGAAACUCAAAGGAAUUGACGGGGGCCCGCACAAGCGGAGGAACAUGUGGUUUAAUUCGAUGAUACGCGAGGAACCUUACCCGGGCUUAAAUUGCAACCGAAUAUGGCGGAAACGCUAUAGCUAGCAAUAGCGGUUGUGAAGGUGCUGCAUGGUUGUCGUCAGCUCGUGCCGUGAGGUGUCGGCUUAAGUGCCAUAACGAGCGCAACCCUUGCCGAUAGUUACUAACAGGUUAUGCUGAGGACUCUGUCGGGACUGCCAUCGUAAGAUGUGAGGAAGGUGGGGAUGACGUCAAAUCAGCACGGCCCUUACGUCCGGGGCUACACACGUGUUACAAUGGGGGGUACAGAGGGCUGCUACCACGCAAGUGGAUGCCAAUCCCAAAAACCUCUCUCAGUUCGGAUUGAAGUCUGCAAACCCGACUUCAUGAAGCUGGAUUCGCUAGUAAUCGCGCAUCAGCCACGGCGCGGUAAAUACGUUCCCGGGCCCU